GGCCCCAUCGUCUAAUGGUUAGGACGCUGCCCUUUCAAGGCGGAAAUCCGGGUUCGAUUCCCGGUAGGGUCA
rnacentral:tRNA from 1 species